UCUUCUUCUUCUUCUUCUUCAAACUGAUCAGUACAGAAGAAUAUUCUGUGAUCAUCUCCUUUUGCAAAGCAAUAGAUAGAUUCACAUGCAUGGAUAUUCUACUAUCUAAAACCCUGUACUAGUUAACAAACGCUACCACACAAACACACAUUUUCCUCUUUUCUGGGUUUACUCCAAAACAAACAAAUCUCGGCACAUAAAUUUAAUGGUAUUAGAGUCGUUUUCGGUUAUCAGAUUUUCAAUCAAAUCCAAUCAUAUAUAGCGAUAUCAAGCUUCCACAAGACUCGGGGAAAAGGCAACAUCAACAUACAGUUAAGCUUUUCUUUUCUUCUGCUAGGCAGAGAGAUAAACAGAAGUAAGAAUUUGAACUCUUGAACUCUUAAAAGUAUAGCCAACAAGCGCUAAGUGUUUGAAAUUGAUCUCCUAACUAACAGACGAGUGCUUAAGUUGAAGCCUUUUCUUUUCUUCGGUUAGACAACAUCAGGAUUUGAAUAUCAGGCGUGGAACUCCGCAAUAAAGCUUUAAAGAAAGGAAUAAUACAAGGGGAAAAAGGAAAGAAAGCACACAAUAGUCAUUGCAUUAUUAAUUUAUGGUCUAAUACCCUUCUCCUUUUAAAGCGAUCACUAGAAUUUGAUCGUUCAAGUAAAGAUUUGAGUGCAGUUUGCAAGAAAUUUACUGAUUCAGUGCUGUGAUCUUUCUCGGCAGCAACUACAAGAACGUUCUUGAUUCUUCCUCCAAGUGCUACCAUUUCAGCUCUAAGCGUCUUCAAAUGCAGGGAUUUCAAUAUCUCAAUGAGGUCAGGCAAAAGAUCAGAGCGAUCUUCACAGCAUAAAGAUGCCUUGAAGAUCAACUGUCCAUCGCUUGAACACUCACCGGAAAGAACAGUGAUCUCAUCGGUUUCUGAUGGGAAGGUUUCGAGCCCUGGAAUUUCUGAUGUCUGCUGUUUGAGUUCUCUCACUCGUUGAACAACUUUUGCAAGAAGUGAAGCUUUGUCUGU
rnacentral:misc_RNA from 1 species